AUUCGUGUAGCUUAUAUUAGAGCUUAAUAUUGAAGAUAUUUUGGAAGUUUUCAUGCUUGCGGAUA
rnacentral:tRNA from 1 species